rnacentral:rRNA from 1 species
CGCUUCCUACGGGGGGCAGCAGUGAGGAAUAUUGGUCAAUGGGCGGGAGCCUGAACCAGCCAAGUCGCGUGAGGGAAGACGGACCUAUGGAUUGUAAACCUCUUUAGGCGGGGAGCAAUGCCGGGCACGUGUGCCCGGAGGGAGAGUACCCGCAGAAUAAGCAUCGGCUAACUCCGUGCCAGCAGCCGCGGUAAUACGGAGGAUGCGAGCGUUAUCCGGAUUUAUUGGGUUUAAAGGGUGCGUAGGCGGUCGGAUAAGUUAGAGGUGAAAUCCCGAGGCUCAACUUCGGAAUUGCCUCUGAUACC